UUUGGAUGUGGUGUUGUGAGCAGCUUCCACAGUUCUCACACUCGAGAUAAGUGGUGGCGCGGAAGAUAUCUGGUUCCACCUAAUGACGAUAAGGCUGCUUUUUGUUCUUCAACAUGCACGGUCUGGUAGACGAAGCCUCCGAAUGAGACUCUGGUCUACCACAGCGCAGCCUCAUUUCCCUGGUUCAUGGGAGAUGUCCGGCAAUCACAUGCCCCAUCAGAACCUCGUGAAGUAUCUUUCACUUUGUUCUGUUAACGGCACUUGCUAAUUAUUUGCUUCUUUCUGCAGGCCGACAACGCCGAGCUCUUUCAGCAGCAGCAGCACGACCACCACCACCUCUUCCCUACGUGGUGAAGACACAGCGAAUGAGGAAUCCGAAUCUUGGAGCCUUUGUUUUUUGUAUUGUUUCCUCUGUUCAUAUUCCUUGUUGCGAAAUAAACAUGUGCUUAUGA